UCCUGAUGCUUUAUAGUUUGUUCCCGAUCUGGUAAGGGCUAUUCUAGAUAAAAAGUGUUUACGUUGUAGUGUAAUUUGGCAGUCUAGUAUAGUAAUGAAAUAUUAACCGGUUAUCAAAAUAUCUGGUUCCACAGUAAAUAGAAUAUUCUAGUUAGGUUCAAACUUUUAAGAUUAGUUAAGAGUUGUUUUCACCUUUUAGUAAAAAUCUGUGAACUUUUGUUUGCUUUAAAGGUAAGUAAUAUAGUUUGUUAUAACAAGUAGUUCGGGGGUAAAGAUUUAUACACAAAUUGGGCAGCUAUUGUGGUGGUGGAUAAAAAAACAUAAUUUGAGUUAAAAAUGAUAAAAUUAGUAUGUUCAUUCGUAAGAGUAAAAUAAAUUAAAAACAGUAAAAAUAAUAUAAAAAAAGAUUGUUACAAAUAACUCGGCAAAAUUUGUUCUAAAAUGUUUAACAAAAACAUUUCCUUGUUUGUAGAAGGUAAGUCCUGCCCCGUGUUUAUAAACGGCUGCGGUAUCCUGACCGUACGAAGGUAGCAUAAUAAAUAGUCUUUUAAUUGGGGACCCGUAUGAAUGGAUUAAUUAAGAAUAAACUUUUUUGUAAUAAACAGCAGAAUUUUAUUAUCAAGUAAAAAGGCUUGGUUGCGGCAGAGUGACAAGAAGACCCUAAGAGUUUUACAAAGUCAGGUUCAAAAUAUGUUGUGUGUAAUGAUAGUUGAGCAUUUCUUUGUUUAACUAGGGCGGUUUAAAUAUUACCUAUUUCGUUGAUAACUUUAAUAAAAGGAGUUUUUACAAGUGUAUCCUCAAUCGGAAACCAAAAUAAAUUACCUUAAGGAUAACAGCAUAAUCUUUUUUGAGAGACCAUAUUGACAAAAAGGUUUGUGACCUCGAUGUUGGAUUUGAAUAACUUUUAGGAGCAGCAUUUAUAAAAGUUGUCUGUUCGACCAUUAAA
rnacentral:rRNA from 1 species